GACCUAAGGGAACACCAGAGGCUGCGCAGGGAGCUGCUCCCAAGCCCUUACAAAGGCACGUGCCCAAGCUUAACUGCGUACUUAGUUGCAGGCAUCUUCGCAAAGGGGGAGUGGCUUCGUGUGUGCUUGCGAAGAUGCAAGGUGGAUCAGGAUGGUACGCAAAAAUAUGAAAACAAGCUCAGAAUCAGAAGAAAUUAUCUGUGCAAGAUAAACUGCGAGGACCUCUUCAUGUUUCAACAAUAAAUUGCACGCAGUUUGGAUAAAAAUAAGUUAUCUUGGUAUUCCUCCUACUAAAUACAAAUAACAUCAGUGGUAGUAAUGAGAAAAAUGUAG